GAUCAUUACCGAGUUGCAGAACUCCCAAACCCACGCGUACCUACCUACACGUUGCUUCGGCGGUGCCGCCGCGGGGGGUGCCCAGCUGCUGGGCCCCCCCCGGGGCGCCCGCCGGAGGCCACUAAAACUCUUCUGUAUCUCGCGUACCAUCUGAGCGAAUGGCGAAUAAUAAAAACUUUCAACAACGGAUCUCUUGGUUCUGGCAUCGAUGAAGAACGCGGCGAAAUGCGAUACGUAAUGUGAAUUGCAGAAUUCAGUGAAUCAUCGAAUCUUUGAACGCACAUUGCGCCCGCCAGCAUUCUGGCGGGCAUGCCUGUUCGAGCGUCAUUUCAACCCUCAGGCCCUGCCUGGCGUUGGGGCGCCGCGGCGGCGAGAGCCCCGCGGGCCCUGAAAUACAGUGGCGAGCCCGCCUGGACUCCGAGCGUAGUAGCAACACUCGCUCAGGGCGUCCCGGCGCGCGUCGGCCGUAAAACACCCCAACUCACCAAAGGUUGACCUCGGAUCAGGUAGGAAUACCCGCUGAACUUAAGCAUAUCA
rnacentral:misc_RNA from 1 species